AUUGAGUGGGAAUAAAGAGCCAACUUAACUUGAAGAGGCAAUCCCAAUUUAUCAACGUUUUAAGAGUAAUAACUAGGCAAAAAAUAUUCAAAUAAACAGACUUGUCUACCAAAAGUCUACUUUUUU
rnacentral:sRNA from 1 species